rnacentral:misc_RNA from 1 species
UUGACAAUCAACAUGGAGAAAUUUUUGGAUUUUGAUGUUCGUUUAUAAACACGGGUCUGAAUUGUGUUCUGUUUGUUAAAAUAUCAAAUUAUGGAAUUAGAAUUUAUUUUCUGUGGAUUCAGACUUAUUUUAUGAUAAACAUUCUUGUUAAGGACAAUGGCUUAGGUAUUAUAACCUCAAACAUGAUUCUUUGACGAAGACAGGUCCAACUCUAUUGCCUGAAAUGAUUUCCGAAGUGCCAAUAAUAUGGCUGCUGUCGUUGUGCAGUAUGGGCUCAAUCGUAGCAAUUGUAUUUGGCUGUGUGUGUGGCUGCCGAAAGAAAGUUCCCAAGAAUGAAUUGAUGGGUCUGGCUGGUAUGGUGAAACUGACCAAUCCUGAAGCAACAAUCAGUUACAAUUCGACGAUUGUCGACUCAGUUCAAGUCGACCCGAACUCUGCCACUGCGGCGGACGGUGGUGCACAUUUUCACCAUCACACUGACAUGAAUAAAAGACCAACGACUGCCACAGCUACUGCCACCCGUAGUCUUCCUGAUCUUCCGGUGGAGCCUGGAAUGUCUGCUUGGGACCACAACGACACCAGCUCGGAUCUUUAUGCCACAGUAGAUGAGAAUAAGGAUAAACGACGAUGCGUGAUGCAGGGUCAGAGUGGAGAUGACGGAUACAAUUCGCCCACACAGACUGAUGACAGCCUCUCUCCUUAUGCCAGGGUCAAGGGAGAACAUCCCUACGAUCAACUCAAGCAAAGUGAACAUCCUUACGCACAAGUUCAUGCCAAUGGAGUAGCAGGUGGAUCCAUUGCAAAGCACAACAACUCUGCUAUACCAUCAGCAUCAUCACAACCGCCGGAGCACAGUGUUAGCAGUCCAACAGCACCGCCGCGCAUGCGCAAAUCACUUGCGCUGUCAGACAGCAGUUCUCGUGACUCUCUGCCGCCUCCGCACGAUUCGAUUCCAGCCGCCUCCGCCAUAGCGGGCAGCAUCGCCGCCAGCCAGGAACUGCCCUAUAUGACGCCGCCCCUCGUCCUCUCUGCCGCCUCCACAGCAGCCCCCUCCGCUUCUAACCAGCAGCACUUCAGCGGCGAUUCGCAGGAUUCCAGCAAAGGCUACACAAGCAUCAGUGUUCGAGAGCCUUUGUCCACGAUUCUUGGUGAGAGGAGUCGAUCUCAGCGACAGGAUUUGAUCGAUUCACACUACAUGACUGUGUCUGAUGACUCAGACGAAAUGUACGCGGCAAUCGAAGAGCCAGGCCAGGCCGUGUACACGAGUGGGAGUGAGACGUACGCGCGCAUCCGUCCCAACCCUCUCCCUCAGACGAGGCCUCCUCCCGCUCCCGUUCCCCCAGAAGACAGAGACAGAGACAGAGAGCUGGAGAGGCCUCCCUCGCAGCAGGCCAGGCGGAUGUCGCAUUCCCGGCAAGCAUCAUCAUCUUCAGCAGCCAGUUCGGGGGGCAUGAGCCCCAACUCGCCCAAGCCCGAAAAGCGGCAAGCCAACUCCCCCCUUCCGCGGCCACCCCCUGAACCUCUCCUCGGUCCCCCCGCCCCCCCUGCUGCCGUGGACGACAUGUACGCCAAGGUGAUGAAGAAGCGGCGCUCGAGUCAGUCAGUGGCCAGCCUUGAAGAGGCGGCCUUGUCUUCCGGUGACAUGCUGGCCAAUGCGGCUCGGACAUCGUCGGGCUACGAGCGCCUCUCCCACGACAUCCUCGCCAAUGCUCCAUCCUCGGGCUACGAGCGAUUGGCCUCCCCGCCGACCAGUUCGGCUGCCGAGCCCAACUACGAGGAACUCAAGCCACAUGAUCCGCUGCCCUCCGCCAUUGAGUCGAACUACGCGAAAGUUAACAAGACGCGCACUAAGAAUAACAACAACAACAACCUGAAACCGACGGUGGAGCCGGCAUAUGCGAGUUUGUCGUCGGCGGAAGUUGACGGCGGCAACCAAGACCCCGACUACGAGAGUGUCAGCGCCACCUCGCAGCAUGACCCGAACUACGAGAGCCUCGAGAAGACUGACAGUGAAAACGAUCCGCCCUAUGAGAAGCUGCACUCCACUUCCUCGGCCUCGAUUGAUGAUGACUACGAAACUGUGUUUAGGGUGGAGGGCCGUGAACGUCACACGUAGCCAAGUUGUAAAAUAAAUGACUAUAAUAUAAUUUGAGGUGAGACCAACAAAAGCUGAAGUGACGAUGCCUCGCGGUCUUCACCGCAGCGGGGUUUCAGUCGACAGGGCAGGAAGCUCUCCGAUUGGCUGAUUGGGUUGGCGCAUCUUCCUGGCCUGUCGUACCGACUGAAAAACGCUUCGUGUGGCUUGGCCCUAAGGUGGCUAAUGUGGCAUCCACAUGAUGAAUGACCGCCGGCUAAUUUGUGUGAUUUUGUCAUCAGUACAACCCACUAAAUCGAUUGUAACCGAAAAUAUGUGGUAGGGUGGCCAUUUAUCCACACUUACACCAUUUUUAUAUUCACAAUAGGACGACUAUCAAGUAUUGCCAACAUGGACCCGGUUGCACAAAAGCCUGUUAGAUUUUAAUCAUGAUUAACAAUGCCACGAUACAGAGAAGACUUUUUGGAAAGAAGGUUUCUGUGAUUGGGUCUCUUUGCAUUUAUUGACGGUUAAAAAUUGAAAGGUUUUUGUGCAACCGAGCAACUAGGAAAUUACCUCUCAAACUUUGCUAACCAACGCUCAAACGAAACAAGAUUUUAAAUUGCAUUCAUAUUACCACACUACUUUAACAGAUGUUUUAUUUCGAACAGUGAGUUAACUUACCAUCUUUAGCCAACGGCCAUACAUUUGUGGAUUUAAAUUAAUGAGCCAAAGUAUGGCCUCGUCUUUUUCGUUAUGCAACUUUUGUAUUAUAGUCAGUCAUAUGGGCUGGCAUGAAAAUGUUGCACAAUUGGCAACACUGAUAUGUUGUCGAAGUCUCAACUUGUAUGUAUAUUUUUCUAUUGCCUACCUCUAUUUAUUAUGUUCUGUUGAAUGAGAAAAAUGAUUGUUAAACUAUUGUCACAUAUUACUAUUAUUGUUAUGUAGUUGUAAACCUUUAUGCAUAAUUCAAUAAUUAUGAUAGAUUAAUAUUUAUUUGAUAAUUUUAUACGUAGUUCAAGAAAGUUAGAUUUCUCCCCGUAAUUAGUUAUUUAUGAUUAAUAGUUUUUCUUCAUCACAAAUUUUGUGAACAAGUUGUUAAUUUUGUUAUUAGUUUUUAAAAGAUUAUAUUAUUAUGUAGUAUCCUAUUGUGUAAAGUUCUCUAUUCAAAUCAAAAUAAAGUAUUUUAUAAAAUGAAACAAUCUAAGAUAAUGAAAAAAACUUGAGUUAACAAUUAUAUGUUAAAAAUAUGACACUUCUUGAUAAUGGAUAUCAAAUCAUAUUCUUUUAAAUUAAUAAUUUUAGUGCCAGUCGCGCACUUUGAUAUCUUUUCCUGGGUUAUUUUAGUUAUUGUAAAUUGAGAAUUUCUUCUUUCAAAUUCAGCUUUUCCUAAUUCAAGGAUUUGCUAAAUUCGUAUUAGUUAAAAGGAAACCUGCCAACUUAUUUUAUUACAAUAUUUGCAGAUAUGAAAAAUGAAUGAAGUUACUUUUGUAUAUAGAAUACUCCUAUUUAUUUUUAGGGCUACUGAAAUUAUAGAAAUACAAUAAAAGUUAUCAAGUACCCUUGUAUUGUAUCACAACACAAAAGGUGAAAGAUAAAAAGGUAACUUAUAUUGUGUUUUGUAUAUAGAAGUAGCCUACACUUUUCAAGGGUGAUAAUACUCUUUCAGGAACAGAGAAACCCCCGAUUUUCAAAACUUAAUCAAAUUGAAAAAAAAAAUUGUGGCACAUUUUCAAGUUUUUAUAAAUGCUAUCACCACGGAGUAAAUAACUAAGCCUAAUGUGUUCCUUCAGUGCUAUCACAAUGUAUUGCCUCGCAGUCUGAUACAACAUGUUGCAAGGUUUAAAAAAUAAUUCCAAUGUGUUAAACAAAUUGCAAGGAUUCCAGAAGCGUUAAUGCUCUAACUUUUUAUUUUAUGAACCUUAGCUCAAACUGCUACAAUAACUGAUCAAUUGACUCGCCUAUAAUUCACUCACAAUA